AUUGAACGCUGGCGGCAGGCUUAACACAUGCAAGUCGAACGGUAGCAGGAGAAAGCUUGCUUUCUUGCUGACGAGUGGCGGACGGGUGAGUAAUGCUUGGGAAUCUGGCUUAUGGAGGGGGAUAACGACGGGAAACUGUCGCUAAUACCGCGUAUUAUCGGAAGAUGAAAGUGCGGGACUGAGAGGCCGCAUGCCAUAGGAUGAGCCCAAGUGGGAUUAGGUAGUUGGUGGGGUAAAUGCCUACCAAGCCUGCGAUCUCUAGCUGGUCUGAGAGGAUGACCAGCCACACUGGAACUGAGACACGGUCCAGACUCCUACGGGAGGCAGCAGUGGGGAAUAUUGCGCAAUGGGGGGAACCCUGACGCAGCCAUGCCGCGUGAAUGAAGAAGGCCUUCGGGUUGUAAAGUUCUUUCGGUAUUGAGGAAGGUUGAUGUGUUAAUAGCACAUCAAAUUGACGUUAAAUACAGAAGAAGCACCGGCUAACUCCGUGCCAGCAGCCGCGGUAAUACGGAGGGUGCGAGCGUUAAUCGGAAUAACUGGGCGUAAAGGGCACGCAGGCGGUUAUUUAAGUGAGGUGUGAAAGCCCCGGGCUUAACCUGGGAAUUGCAUUUCAGACUGGGUAACUAGAGUACUUUAGGGAGGGGUAGAAUUCCACGUGUAGCGGUGAAAUGCGUAGAGAUGUGGAGGAGUACCGAAGGCGAAGGCAGCCCCUUGGGAAUGUACUGACGCUCAUGUGCGAAAGCGUGGGGAGCAAACAGG
rnacentral:rRNA from 1 species